rnacentral:rRNA from 1 species
AGCGAACGCUGGCGGCAGGCCUAACACAUGCAAGUCGAACGAACCUUUCGGGGUUAGUGGCGGACGGGUGAGUAAUACGUGGGAACGUGCCUUUAGGUUCGGAAUAACUCAGGGAAACUUGUGCUAAUACCGAAUGUGCCCUUCGGGGGAAAGAUUUAUUGCCUUUAGAGCGGCCCGCGUCUGAUUAGCUAGUUGGUUGAGGUAAUGGCUCACCAAGGCGACGAUCAGUAGCUGGUCUGAGAGGAUGAUCAGCCACAUUGGGACUGAGACACGGCCCAAACUCCUACGGGAGGCAGCAGUGGGGAAUCUUGCGCAAUGGGCGAAAGCCUGACGCAGCCAUGCCGCGUGAAUGAUGAAGGUCUUAGGAUUGUAAAAUUCUUUCACCGGGGACGAUAAUGACGGUACCCGGAGAAGAAGCCCCGGCUAACUUCGUG